GGAAAGGCGCGCGAUACAGGGUGACAGCCCCGUACACAAAAAUGCACAUGCUGUGAGCUCGAUGAGUAGGGCGGGACACGUGGUAUCCUGUCUGAAUAUGGGGGGACCAUCCUCCAAGGCUAAAUACUCCUGACUGACCGAUAGUGAACCAGUACCGUGAGGGAAAGGCGAAAAGAACCCCGGCGAGGGGAGUGAAAAAGAACCUGAAACCGUGUACGUACAAGCAGUGGGAGCACGCUUAGGCGUGUGACUGCGUACCUUUUGUAUAAUGGGUCAGCGACUUAUAUUCUGUAGCAAGGUUAACCGAAUAGGGGAGCCGAAGGGAAACCGAGUCUUAACUGGGCGUUAAGUUGCAGGGUAUAGACCCGAAACCCGGUGAUCUAGCCAUGGGCAGGUUGAAGGUUGGGUAACACUAACUGGAGGACCGAACCGACUAAUGUUGAAAAAUUAGCGGAUGACUUGUGGCUGGGGGUGAAAGGCCAAUCAAACCGGGAGAUAGCUGGUUCUCCCCGAAAGCUAUUUAGGUAGCGCCUCGUGAAUUCAUCUCCGGGGGUAGAGCACUGUUUCGGCAAGGGGGUCAUCCCGACUUACCAACCCGAUGCAAACUGCGAAUACCGGAGAAUGUUAUCACGGGAGACACACGGCGGGUGCUAACGUCCGUCGUGAAGAGGGAAACAACCCAGACCGCCAGCUAAGGUCCCAAAGUCAUGGUUAAGUGGGAAACGAUGUGGGAAGGCCCAGACAGCCAGGAUGUUGGCUUAGAAGCAGCCAUCAUUUAAAGAAAGCGUAAUAGCUCACUGGUCGAGUCGGCCUGCGCGGAAGAUGUAACGGGGCUAAACCAUGCACCGAAGCUGCGGCAGCGACGCUGAUGCGUUGUUGGGUAGGGGAGCGUUCUGUAAGCCUGCGAAGGUGUGCUGUGAGGCAUGCUGGAGGUAUCAGAAGUGCGAAUGCUGACAUAAGUAACGAUAAAGCGGGUGAAAAGCCCGCUCGCCGGAAGACCAAGGGUUCCUGUCCAACGUUAAUCGGGGCAGGGUGAGUCGACCCCUAAGGCGAGGCCGAAAGGCGUAGUCGAUGGGAAACAGGUUAAUAUUCCUGUACUUGGUGUUACUGCGAAGGGGGGACGGAGAAGGCUAUGUUGGCCGGGCGACGGUUGUCCCGGUUUAAGCGU
rnacentral:rRNA from 1 species